rnacentral:lncRNA from 1 species
GGAAGGGCCUCAUCGGAGGCAAAUAUCGAGAAGGGGCGCGGCGGCGCCGCUAGGCUUCGGCCGUGUAUUCCGGCCGUUUGGCCGGGAUUUUGGCUCCGAUUUGGCCACAGGAGGAAUCAGUGUGUAAAAACGAGUCGGGGGGUACGAAAUUUACCUCGAUCGGCGGUCGAAAAUUUCCCCGGUGCGGCGGCGGGUGGCGGCGGCCGGCUUCUGGUUCGUCUUCUCCGGCGAGCGGCAGGCGGCUAGGGUUUGUGGUCUGGUGUGGGGGUUCUAUUUAUAACCCU